rnacentral:lncRNA from 1 species
UGAAGAGUCCACUUGAAUGACAGUUGCUUCUGCGAAACCUGGAGACAGAGGAACCGGGAGGGAGAAGAGGGGGAGAAUACGAGAGGAGAGAGGCAGAGAAGAGGAGAAGAGGGAGAAGAGAGGAGGAAGAGAGAAACGGGAAGGGAGGAAGAGAGAAACGGGAAGGGAGGAAGAUGGGGAAGAAACUUUCAAUACUUCAUUAAAGCCCUAAUCAUGAAGAUAGUCCCCUAUAUAUAGGGCCCAAAUAAACACAAUUAACAUAAAACCCCCUUACACAGAAAUAACUCCUAAUA